GCGGCAGUAGCUCAGUUGGAUAGAGUAACUGGCUACGAACCAGUAGGUCAGGGGUUCGAGUCCCUUCUGCCGUGCCA
rnacentral:tRNA from 1 species